AGAGGAAUGAAUCCCCGUAGUCCCUGCGGUAAACGAUGUCUACUUGCCGUUGCUCUUGAGGCUUUAGUUGCGCAGCUAACGUGGUAAGUAGACCGCCNGGGGAGUUCGGUCGCAAGACAAAAACUCAAAUAAAUAGUCGGGGCCCAACACAAGCAUUGGAGCUUGUGAAUUAAUUCGAUGCAACGCGAAGAACCUUACCUCGCCCUAACAUGUAAGAGCUUUCCAGAGAUGGAUUGGUCCCUUCGGGAACUUACAUACAGGUUAUACAUGGCAGUCGUCAGCUCGUGUCGUGAGACGUUGGGUUAAGUCCCGCAACNGGCGCAACCAUUUUCCUUGUUUGCCAGCGAGUAAGGUCGGGAACUAUAAGGACAGCCAGAGACAAACUGGAGGAAGGAAAAGCGACCUCAAGUCAGCAUAGCCCUUACGGCCACUGCCACACACGGGCUACAAUGGUCGGUACAAAGGGUUGCGACCUAGCGAUAGGAUGCUAAUUUCAAAAAGCCGAUCGUAGUCCG
rnacentral:rRNA from 1 species